GUAGUUUCCAUGGAAACAAAUAGGAGGCAUUACUUUCAGAGUGACCUAUGUAUACACAGCCCAAGACGAUUCUUUGUCACUCAGUGCAGCCCAGGCAAGCCAAAAGGUUGGACGCCCACCCAAAGGUUGGGCUAGUGGCUGGGGUCACCCAUCCUGUCCUGCCACUACGCUCUGUCUCUGCUUGCCUGGCAGUGAGAGGUCCUGAACAGCAGAGUUCUGCAUCACUCACUAUGUGAAGACCCUCAGCUUUCUUGUUAUGGCCAGGACCUUCCACACCUGCAACUUUUAUAUGAUGGGAGAAAGAUGCUUAUAUUUUGCGUAGGCUGACUUAAAUAUGAAAGAGACAGAUAAAGUCCAAGCCCUUUUGGAAGAUAAUACAUACAUAUUCAAAAGGGUGUUUAGAUGUGUAGUAUAACAUAUUUUCUGUUUGCUGUACAUCCAACAGUGUAGCUGUGACUAGGUGCACUGUAAUUAAGUCAUCAAUAAACCUAGAAUCCUUGAGAUCCUGAGUACUUGGGAUCAUAAUUUCCUGGAUGGAGCUGAGAGUACAUAGCUGCUCACAGUAAUCAGCAAUUUCUUUGGUAGAAAGAAGGCUCUGCAUGCAGCCAAGGAGCAGACACAGCAGGAGUCCCAAAGUGCUUGGGCAGAAAGGCUGAUGAUGGUGGCCACGGUCAGCCACAGCUAUCCCAAGUGAUGUGUUGAGUCUGGAUGCAGGCAGAAGUCGAGCCUCCAGGUCCAAGAUCUAGCCAGGAACAAGGAAGGCUGCAUGGUAGCUCAGUGAGGCUCAGUAUGUGUAUUGUGCUGGCAUGUAGCUCCUGAACCUCCACCAUGGAACUUCAGGAUGCGUUCAGACCCUCAGGAGAGGGGAAGGCCCUGAUGCCUGCUCCAUGUUGCCUUUGCAUGGGGAAAUUUUCUUUCUACUCCUUCAGUAUUUCUGUCAUUUGCUUUUACAUUUGAGUGAGAUUGCUAAGUCAUUUAUCUGGCUGAGCAAUCUCCUGUUACUUUCACAUUUACUGAUUCAUUAAUCUGACUUUGGAUUUGAGCACGUAAGAAUAAAAACUGCAUGAAGAUUUAGUUUAGACUAGUGAGACAUGACUGUGGCUAUGUUAAAGGGAUCUGAAGAAUCUUUUUAUAUUGCGCAGGUUCAUUUUAAAUAUUUCCUUUCUGUAUUUUGUGGUCUGUUAUUCUUGAAAAACUUUCAUUUGGUUCCAUCGCUCCUGUCUGUGAAGCUGCCAUUGACUUUGGGAAUGAUGUGGAAUCUCUGAAGAAUUUGGCCACAAAGAAACAUGCUUGUCAUCUUAGGUGGGAACCUCAAGGAAAGAAGAGAAAAAAAUUACAUGUAGCUUUACAACAAAACUACAGUAAAGUAAAAUGGAGCGCUGCUUCAGAACUGACACAUUAAGUAACUCCCUCUUCCGAAUUUGAACCUGAAUCUGCAUGUGUUAGUAAUCAUUAAUCAUCUGACUGGUCUCAGAUAAAUAAAGACUACAGAAGUAAAUAAAGUCAAGUGCUAGGAGCAUUUCCAUCAUUGCACUGAUGUGCAAUGCAGCAAAUCAGUAUGUACUCACUCAGUACUGGUUUUAUUGGUUCACUCCUAAGUCAAGAGAAAGAUACUUUUGUGUAUCCAAAUAAAUAAGAAAUAAACAUCAGCACAGAGGACACCAGAGGACCAUUCAAAUCCAUUAUCUGUGAAGACCUUUACGAUGGAAAGUGGUUCUUCUUUUCCUACUGUGAUCGGAUCCUGACAAGUGAAUGUACAUUCAGGAUCAGGCCCACUGAGACAUUUCUUCAAAGCUAUUGCUGUGUCAUUUGUGUCAUCAAUCUGAAUAGACACAAAUCUUAUAUUAAGUAAUAAAGAUUUCCAGAAGAAACUUGGGAAGAAUAAUUCAAAUCUUUUCAAAAGAAAAAAGGCAAGAAGGAGGUGGACAGAAAGCAGAAAUAUUCAAACUGAAUUUAUGUGUUUAACUACGUUGAUUGCAUGCUUUGGUCCCACUGUGCCAAACAAAACUAUGUUUUCUGUGCCAUUUUCUUUCCAUGUAAAUUGAGUUGAAAAAAAGGUGUUUUAUCUUUAGGUGGUACCCCCUCAAAAGAACAUAAUUUGUUACACAAAAAGAUGGUUCCCCCAAUUUCUGCCAGAGAAUAGGAAGUAUAUUCUUCAUGAUGUCAAACUAUUAUGUAAAUAAGAAAAACCGGCAGCCAAAGACUUUGAAGAGUUGCCCAGGAAUGCAGAGUAAAAUGAUUUACUUUCUGGCCAGCAAGAAGUAUUGAAGACAGGAUUUGAUAUAUAUUGGGAUUUUGAACUGCAGUCUCUCCAACAUAUAUUUCCUUAAUAAAACAAUGUAUGUAUCUGAAUAUUUUAGGACAAAAUUCUGUAGUCCUGAGCUGCAAAGUUGUGGGUACACAGACAAAAACCCAAGACUCUUAGGGCUGGUACUGAGUAUGGAAAUAAUUCAAUAGAUCUAUUUCAGUAGCAAAUCCAUAUCACUGAACAUUUUUUCUGUUUUCCACGUAACUGCUGGUAGUUCAAAAUAUUCAGUGUGUUGAACAGGAACAUGAAUGUGUUCAACACAUUCAGUGGCUUUAAAUUAAAAGAAGUUAGAUAUUUAGGUUAGAUAUUAGAAGGAAAUUCUUUACUCAGAGGGCAGUGAGGCACUGGCACAGGCUGCCCAGAGGAGCUGUGGAUGCCCCAUCCCUGGAGCGCUCACAGCCAGGUUGGUGGGUGGCAGCCCUGCCCAUGACAGGGGGUUUGAAGCUGGGUGAUUGUUAAAGUUCUUCUAACCCAAGUCAUUCUAUGACAAUUCUAUGAUGAACUUGUGCGACCUAUUGUAGGGUGCCUGCUUUAGCAGAGAGGUUGGACUCAAUGAUCUCUUGAGGCCCCUUCAAAUCCUGUGAUUCUAUGAUUCUGUGAAAUAUCUGUGGGAAUGAAACUACACACAUAUGGGCUCACUGAAACAUAUUAUUUAAGGUAACUACAUUUAAGAAUUGUAUCAUCUUUUUGCUUAUUACUAAUUCAAGUGCAUUUGUGUAAUUUUUUAAAGACAGAAAUGAGCAGAAAUAUGCAUUGUGAUUAUCAUAAAACACACUGUAUCUGCCACAUUGAUGAGGGAGCAAUAGCACUGCUCUGACAGCAGAGAACUGCAUCUUCCCUGUCUUCCCUGUAUAUAAUGAAAAGUCACAUAUGGUUUGAAAUUAAGUAUUUGACAAUAAUAAAAUGCAAAAUAUGUUGACUGUAUUUAUUCUUGUCAUUUAUUAGGAAUGCUAUAUCCUCACCUCCGCACUACUGUGGAAGGGUACAUAAUGAUUUAGCAUCAAAAAAUGAGUGUCUUCUGCAUUGCAAAACCCCUCAGUUGGUGAGAAAUGCUCAUGAGUCUGAUUUCUAUUUGAACUAAUAGAAUCUAGACAUCUAAAUGAUGAUUUACUGCCAGUCCCUACAAGUCUCUAAAGUGACUGGACACUUGAGCAGCUCAGCCACAGGAAAAAAUAAACCUUUCUAGAAGAGGUGCCUGGAGUCCUCAGGCUGCAGAUUGCUCUGUGUGCAGAUGGGCCCUGGCACCUGCAAGCACACUGUGUUCCAUGCCACGCUGGUCCAGCCUUGCUGGAUAUAAAGCAUAGAGCACAGCUCUGCUGAAAAGGUCUUGGGGGUACUGGAGCAUGGCAAGCUGGACAUGAGCCAACAGUGUGCCCUUGCAGCCCAGAAAGCCAACCGUAUCCUGGGCUGCAUCAAAAGAUGUGUGGUCAGCAGGUUGAGGGAAGUCAUCCUGCCCCUCUGCUCUACACUGGUUAAGACCACAUCUGGACUACUGCGUCUCAGUACAGGAGAGACAUAGACCUGGUGGAGUGCAUCCAAAGGAGGGCCACAAAAAAAGUGAUCCAAGGGAUGGAACACCUCUCCUAUGAGGACAGGCUGAGGGAGCUGCGGC